UGUGAAUAUUUUGGGAUUGUUUACUUCCGUAUAUUGUUUAAAUAUGAGAUCACAUUUUUCUGGGAAAGAGAUGGGAAAGAGAUCUUUCUUGUUGCGUGUUUUGUGUUUUGGGGGAGGAGCCAUCUUAUGUUAAGGCAAGCUGGCCUCCUGUGCCUCUCAUUCUACUGGUCUGUACUGUCUAAUAAAGAUGGUUGCUUCCCAGUCUAUAGGUACAUACUGUUGAUUGCUUUUGUGGGCUACUACUUGAUGGGGGCGAAGGUAUUGCAAGCUUUGGAGACAGACAUUCAGGAGGAAUUGAAAAAUUCCUUUUUGGAGGCCAGAGAAGCUUUAAUGAGUAACUAUGCCAACAUCACUCCAGAAGAGCUUGAAAUCUUUUUGCAGGAAUAAGGAAAUCUGCUGGUAUUCCAUCUGCCUGCCAAAUAAAACUCCAAACCCUCUUUUUUAAGGAAGAUAACAUCAUCCAGAGUCUCUACAUAUUUUCAUAUACAAUGGCCAGCAUCCAAUGAAAAAUUAGGAGUAAAAGAACUGGGAGAAUCUCGGACUUUUAGGGGUCCACAAAAGAUCAGACUGUUGGGAAUGGAUGUCACCAUGACCCAUGGUUUCUGCCCUGAGGAUAAUAACAACAAGGUCUGAAUGACCACUUCCUUUGGUGUAUGGCCUGGUGGUGCACACAGAAGUCCAACUGAUUGGUGGAUAUAGAGAGCAAGAUGGAAUCACUCAUGUCAAGCAGGGACAUAGGCAGUCAAGGGCAUUGGUGCUAAGAUGAGAUGUUGCUGAAACCAGCACAGGCUGAUGACACAGCAGAACCAGAAGAGGCCCAUAAAGGCCUAAGACUGGUUAAGCAUCUUCAAAAAGAGAGGACUUUUGCAGCAAUGGUCAGACCUCCAGAAGCUGACCCUUCCAUAUCUGACUGCAUCAGAAAGGCAGUUGCUGAUGAAAGGUCUGCCUGACUGAUCUCUGAACAUAACAGAGAUCUUCCACUGCUUGAAUAUAAUAAGCAGUGUGGUUGGAGAGCUGACCCAGGCUGAAACGAGCCCUCAUCUCACUUGUGCACCCAUCCACAGACUCCACAUUUGCUUCACUAAGUUCUUACCCCUUGUUGUAUCUUCCUUGUUGUGACUUUGUUUUCUGCUCUGCUUUGUGUGAUAUAUAAGAAGCUAAGUUAAAUGUGUAGUGAAAUGUCAUUGGGCUUGGAAUACUGAACCUGCUUUACAAUUAUGUUAGCCUUGCGGGGCGCCUGGGUGGCUCAGUCGGUUGAACGUCCGACUUCGGCUCAGGUUAUGGUCUCACGGUUUGUGAGUUUGAGCCCCGUGUCGGGCUCUGUGCUGUUGGCUCGGAGCCUGGAGCCUGCUUCAAUUCUGUGUCUCCCUCUCUCUCUGCCCCUUCCCCACUCAUGAUCUGUCUCUCUCUGUCUCUCAAAAAUGAAUAAACGUUAAAAAAAAAUUAAAAAAAAACAAUUAUGUUAGCCUUGCUUUAUGAUUAAAUAAAGCUGACACUGUGGAAAGACACAACUCAUGUAUGCACCUUUAUAGCCUGCUUGCAACAGUGGGCAUGAAUUUUGUCAUCUGAUCCCUCAGCCAUUCCAGUCUGGGCCACAGUAGAUGAAUAAUUCUAACUUCAGGCAGUUCAACCGUAUUCACUGGUUCUGUUUAACAGGGAGUUAAGGGAGGUGAAACCAUUUGACCAUUCUCUAUCAUAUGAUGUUCUCAUAUUUUCUUCUUGAUGAGACAGAAUCAAAGUACCAGCUUGCCUGAAGAAUGGACGUAGUCCUUAUUUUGUAGUCCUGGAACCAGUCAAUAAGCCUACUUUGCCUUUAUUCUUAAGACACAUUCUUUUAAACAAAUGUGAGUUAAGGCGAACUAUGAAUUUGUAGGAGUUCAGGCAUGACUUUAAAUGGGCAUGAACUCCUCAUGUUGUAAUGACUUUAACAUUGCCAGGCUGUUUAAAAUAUCACCACAGGCAAUGAAGGGAGCUUUUGUGUGAAGUCCAUGAAAAAUUGUGAAACUUUGGUAUGGCAUUCUUCUCCAACCUGUGUGUGUGUGUGUGUGUGUGUGUGUGUGUGUGUGUGUGUUGAUAGUGUAUUCCUAUUCUUUUGUAGCAUUGAAAAUAAAAAUUGAGGGUGCCUGGGUGGCUCAGUCGGUUGUGUCUGACUUCGGCUCAUGUCAUGAUCUCAUGGUUCUUGGUUCAAGCCUCGUGUUGGGCUCUGUGCUGACAGCUAAUAGCCUGGAGCCUGCUUCAGAUUCUGGUUCUCCCUUUCUCUCUGCCCCUCCCUGCUCAUGCUCUGUCUCUGUCAAAAAUGAA